AACUAACCCAUCCGGUGGCCUAGUGUUUAGAGCGUCCGCCUCGGAAGCGGGAGGUCAUGGGUUCGAUCCCCGGUCGAGUCA